GACGAACGCUGGCGGCGUGCUUAACACAUGCAAGUCGAACGGAAAGGCCCUGCUUGCAGGGUACUCGAGUGGCGAACGGGUGAGUAACACGUGGGUGAUCUGCCCUGCACUUCGGGAUAAGCUUGGGAAACUGGGUCUAAUACCGGAUAGGAGCCAUCUUUAGUGUGGUGGUUGGAAAGUUUUUUCGGUGUAGGAUGAGCUCGCGGCCUAUCAGCUUGUUGGUGGGGUAAUGGCCUACCAAGGCGGCGACGGGUAGCCGGCCUGAGAGGGUGUACGGCCACACUGGGACGGAGAGACGGCCCAGACUCCUACGGGAGGCAGCAGUGGGGAAUAUUGCACAAUGGGCGCAAGCCUGAGGCAGCGACGCCGCGUGGGGGAUGAAGGCCUUCGGGUUGUAAACUCCUUUCGCUAGGGACGAAGCUUUGUUGUGACGGUACCUAGAGAAGAAGCACCGGCUAACUACGUG
rnacentral:rRNA from 1 species